rnacentral:hammerhead_ribozyme from 1 species
CUACUGCUGAGGAGUCCCAAACUAGGACGAAACAGCUGCCCAGUAC